rnacentral:rRNA from 1 species
GACCUUGAAAUACCACCCUUUAAUGUUUGAUGUUCUAACGUGGACCCGUAAUCCGGGUUGCGGACAGUGUCUGGUGGGUAGUUUGACUGGGGCGGUCUCCUCCUAAAGAGUAACGGAGGAGCACGAAGGUUGGCUAAUCCUGGUCGGACAUCAGGAGGUUAGUGCAAUGGCAUAAGCCAGCUUGACUGCGAGCGUGACGGCGCGAGCAGGUGCGAAAGCAGGUCAUAGUGAUCCGGUGGUUCUGAAUGGAAGGGCCAUCGCUCAACGGAUAAAAGGUACUCCGGGGAUAACAGGCUGAUACCGCCCAAGAGUUCAUAUCGACGGCGGUGUUUGGCACCUCGAUGUCGGCUCAUCACAUCCUGGGGCUGAAGUAGGUCCCAAGGGUAUGGCUGUUCGCCAUUUAAAGUGGUACGCGAGCUGGGUUUAGAACGUCGUGAGACAGUUCGGUCCCUAUCUGCCGUGGGCGCUGGAGAACUGAGGGGGGCUGCUCCUAGUACGAGAGGACCGGAGUGGACGCAUCACUGGUGUUCGGGUUGUCAUGCCAAUGGCACUGCCCGGUAGCUAAAUGCGGAAGAGAUAAGUGCUGAAAG